CUUGGUCAUUUAGAGGAAGUAAAGGUCGUAACAAGGUCUCCGUUGGUGAACCAGCGGAGGGAUCAUUACCGAGUUUACAACUCCCAAACCCCUGUGAACAUACCUAUUGUUGCCUCGGCGGAUCAGCCCGGCCCCGGUAAAACGGGACGGCCCGCCAGAGGACCCCUAAACUCUGUUUUUAGUGUAACUUCUGAGUAAAACAAACAAAUAAAUCAAAACUUUCAACAACGGAUCUCUUGGUUCUGGCAUCGAUGAAGAACGCAGCAAAAUGCGAUAAGUAAUGUGAAUUGCAGAAUUCAGUGAAUCAUCGAAUCUUUGAACGCACAUUGCGCCCGCUAGUAUUCUGGCGGGCAUGCCUGUUCGAGCGUCAUUUCAACCAUCAAGCCCCCGGCUUGCGUUGGAGCCCUGCGGCUGCCGCAGGCUCCCAAAUACAGUGGCGGGCUCGUCGUCGUACCGAGUGCAGUAACAUCCUCGCUCAGGGAACGCGUCGGGUUCUUGCCGUGAAACACCCCCAUAUUAAGGUUGACCUCGGAUCAGGUAGGAAUACCCGCUGAACUUAAGCAUAUCAAUAAGCGGAGGA
rnacentral:rRNA from 1 species